rnacentral:rRNA from 1 species
AGUGGCGGACGGGUGAGUAACGCGUAAGAAUCUAACUUCAGGACGGGGACAACAGUGGGAAACGACUGCUAAUACCCGAUGUGCCGCGAGGUGAAACCUAAUUGGCCUGAAGAAGAGCUUGCGUCUGAUUAGCUAGUUGGUGGGGUAAGAGCCUACCAAGGCGACGAUCAGUAGCUGGUCUGAGAGGAUGAGCAGCCACACUGGGACUGAGACACGGCCCAGACUCCUACGGGAGGCAGCAGUGGGGAAUUUUCCGCAAUGGGCGAAAGCCUGACGGAGCAACGCCGCGUGAGGGAGGAAGGUCUUUGGAUUGUAAACCUCUUUUCUCAAGGAAGAAGUUCUGACGGUACUUGAGGAAUCAGCCUCGGCUAACUCCGUGCCAGCAGCCGCGGUAAUACGGAGGAGGCAAGCGUUAUCCGGAAUUAUUGGGCGUAAAGCGUCCGCAGGUGGUCAGCCAAGUCUGCCGUCAAAUCAGGUUGCUUAACGACCUAAAGGCGGUGGAAACUGGCAGACUAGAGAGCAGUAGGGGUAGCAGGAAUUCCCAGUGUAGCGGUGAAAUGCGUAGAGAUUGGGAAGAACAUCGGUGGCGAAAGCGUGCUACUGGGCUGUAUCUGACACUCAGGGACGAAAGCUAGGGGAGCGAAAGGGAUUAGAUACCCCUGUAGUCCUAGCCGUAAACGAUGGAUACUAGGCGUGGCUU